UACGGAGGGUGCAAACGUUUGCUCGGAAUUAUUGGGCGUAAAGCGCACGUAGGUGGUCUGUUAAGUCGGAUGUGAAAGCCCCAGGCUCAACUUGGGAAGUGCAUUCGAAACUGGCAGGCUUGAGUAUGGAAGAGGGUCGCGGAAUUCCCGGUGUAGAGGUGAAAUUCGUAGAUAUCGGGAGGAACACCAGUGGCGAAGGCGGCGACC
rnacentral:rRNA from 1 species